rnacentral:rRNA from 1 species
UCUAAACAGAGUCCUUCGGGACGAAGUUUUUAAAACCUAGUGGCGGACGGGUGAGUAACGCGUGGGUAACGUACCUUUUAGUGGGGAACAACAGUGAGAAAUUACUGCUAAUACCGCAUACGGUCAUCUUACCGCAUGGUGAGAUGAAGAAAGACGGCCUCUCGACGAAGCUGUCGCUAAAAGAUCGACCCGCGUCUGAUUAGCUAGUUGGUGAGGUAACGGCUCACCAAGGCGACGAUCAGUAGCCGGCCUGAGAGGGUGAACGGCCACAUUGGGACUGAGACACGGCCCAAACUCCUACGGGAGGCAGCAGUGGGGAAUCUUCCGCAAUGGGCGAAAGCCUGACGGAGCAAUGCCGCGUGAACGAAGAAGGUCUUCGGAUUGUAAAGUUCUGUCCUUAUCGAAGAGAGGCAUAUGGAGUAACUGCUAUAUGCAGGACGGUAGAUGAGGAGGAAGCCCCGGCUAACUACGUGCCAGCAGCCGCGGUAAUACGUAGGGGGCGAGCGUUGUCCGGAAUCACUGGGCGUAAAGGGCGCGUAGGCGGCAAUAUAAGUCAGAUGUGAAAGGUGAGGGCUCAACCCUUAGACUGCAUCUGAUACUGUAUAGCUUGAGUGUGAGAGAGGAAAGCGGAAUUCCUAGUGUAGCGGUGAAAUGCGUAGAUAUUAGGAGGAACACCAGUGGCGAAGGCGGCUUUCUGGCUCAUAACUGACGCUGAGGCGCGAAAGCGUGNGGAGCAAACAGGAUUAGAUACCCUGGUAGUCCNCGCCGUAAACGAUGGGUACUAGGUG